GAUGAACGCUAGCGGCAGGCUUAACACAUGCAAGUCGCGGGGCAGCGGGGGAUGAGCUUGCUCAUCCCGCCGGCGACCGGCGCACGGGUGAGUAACACGUAUGCAACCUGCCCCUGUCAGGGGGACAACCCACCGAAAGGUGGGCUAAACCCGCGUACAUCCGGAGGGGGCAUCCCCUUGGGAGGAAAGGAGCGAUCCGGACAGGGAUGGGCAUGCGGCGCAUUAGCUAGACGGCGGGGUAACGGCCCACCGUGGCGACGAUGCGUAGGGGUUCUGAGAGGAAGGCCCCCCACAUUGGAACUGAGACACGGUCCAA
rnacentral:rRNA from 1 species